rnacentral:rRNA from 1 species
GACGAACGCUGGCGGCGUGCCUAAUACAUGCAAGUAGAACGCUGAAGAGAGGAGCUUACUCUUCUUGGAUGAGUUGCGAACGGGUGAGUAACGCGUAGGUAACCUGCCUUGUAGCGGGGGAUAACUAUUGGAAACGAUAGCUAAUACCGCAUAACAAUGGAUGACACAUGUCAUUUAUUUGAAAGGGGCAAUUGCUCCACUACAAGAUGGACCUGCGUUGUAUUAGCUAGUAGGUGAGGUAAUGGCUCACCUAGGCGACGAUACAUAGCUGACCUGAGAGGGUGAUCGGCCACACUGGGACUGAGACACGGCCCAGACUCCUACGGGAGGCAGCAGUAGGGAAUCUUCGGCAAUGGGGGCAACCCUGACCGAGCAACGCCGCGUGAGUGAAGAAGGUUUUCGGAUCGUAAAGCUCUGUUGUAAGUCAAGAACGGGUGUGAGAGUGGAAAGUUCACACUGUGACGGUAGCUUACCAGAAAGGGACGGCUAACUACGUG